rnacentral:rRNA from 1 species
AAUGGUUGGAUGAGAAAUAUACUUUCUUUAUUUUAUAUAAAAAAUUUAAUUUUUUGGUUAAAAAGCCAAAAUAUUUUUAUAGGACGAGAAGACCCUAUAGAACUUUAUUUUCUUUUUAUAUAAAUUUUUUAGAUUUAUAUAAUUUUAUAUAAUUAUGUUAAUUUUGUUGGGGUGAUUGAAAAAAAAAAUUAACUUUUUCUAUUUUUUACAUUUAUUUAUGUUAUUUUGAUCCUAUUUUAUGGAAAAAAAGAUUAAGUUACCUUAGGGAUAACAGCGUUAUUUUUUUGGAGAGUUCAUAUCGAUAAAAAAGUUUGCGACCUCGAUGUUGGAUUAAAAUAAGUAAUAGGAGCAUGAAUAUUAUU